UACGAAGGGGGCUAGCGUUGCUCGGAAUCACUGGGCGUAAAUCGCACGUAGGCGGAUUGUUAAGUCAGGGGUGAAAUCCUGGAGCUCAACUCCAGAACUGCCUUUGAUACUGGCGAUCUCGAGUCCGGGAGAGGUGAGUGGAACUGCGAGUGUAGAGGUGAAAUUCGUAGAUAUUCGCAAGAACACCAGUGGCGAAGGCGGCUCACUGGCCCGGUACUGACGCUGAGGUGCGAAAGCGUGGGGAGCAAACAGG
rnacentral:rRNA from 1 species